GAUAAACGCUGGCGGCGUGCCUAAUACAUGCAAGUCGAGCGAACGGACGAGAAGCUUGCUUCUCUGAUGUUAGCGGCGGACGGGUGAGUAACACGUGGAUAACCUACCUAUAAGACUGGGAUAACUUCGGGAAACCGGAGCUAAUACCGGAUAAUAUUUUGAACCGCAUGGUUCAAAAGUGAAAGACGGUCUUGCUGUCACUUAUAGAUGGAUCCGCGCUGCAUUAGCUAGUUGGUAAGGUAACGGCUUACCAAGGCAACGAUGCAUAGCCGACCUGAGAGGGUGAUCGGCCACACUGGAACUGAGACACGGUCCAGACUCCUACGGGAGGCAGCAGUAGGGAAUCUUCCGCAAUGGGCGAAAGCCUGACGGAGCAACGCCGCGUGAGUGAUGAAGGUCUUCGGAUCGUAAAACUCUGUUAUUAGGGAAGAACAUAUGUGUAAGUAACUGUGCACAUCUUGACGGUACCUAAUCAGAAAGCCACGGCUAACUACGUGCCAGCAGCCGCGGUAAUACGUAGGUGGCAAGCGUUAUCCGGAAUUAUUGGGCGUAAAGCGCGCGUAGGCGGUUUUUUAAGUCUGAUGUGAAAGCCCACGGCUCAACCGUGGAGGGUCAUUGGAAACUGGAAAACUUGAGUGCAGAAGAGGAAAGUGGAAUUCCAUGUGUAGCGGUGAAAUGCGCAGAGAUAUGGAGGAACACCAGUGGCGAAGGCGACUUUCUGGUCUGUAACUGACGCUGAUGUGCGAAAGCGUGGGGAUCAAACAGGAUUAGAUACCCUGGUAGUCCACGCCGUAAACGAUGAGUGCUAAGUGUUAGGGGGUUUCCGCCCCUUAGUGCUGCAGCUAACGCAUUAAGCACUCCGCCUGGGGAGUACGACCGCAAGGUUGAAACUCAAAGGAAUUGACGGGGACCCGCACAAGCGGUGGAGCAUGUGGUUUAAUUCGAAGCAACGCGAAGAACCUUACCAAAUCUUGACAUCCUUUGACAACUCUAGAGAUAGAGCCUUCCCCUUCGGGGGACAAAGUGACAGGUGGUGCAUGGUUGUCGUCAGCUCGUGUCGUGAGAUGUUGGGUUAAGUCCCGCAACGAGCGCAACCCUUAAGCUUAGUUGCCAUCAUUAAGUUGGGCACUCUAAGUUGACUGCCGGUGACAAACCGGAGGAAGGUGGGGAUGACGUCAAAUCAUCAUGCCCCUUAUGAUUUGGGCUACACACGUGCUACAAUGGACAAUACAAAGGGCAGCGAAACCGCGAGGUCAAGCAAAUCCCAUAAAGUUGUUCUCAGUUCGGAUUGUAGUCUGCAACUCGACUACAUGAAGCUGGAAUCGCUAGUAAUCGUAGAUCAGCAUGCUACGGUGAAUACGUCCCCGGGUCU
rnacentral:rRNA from 1 species